rnacentral:misc_RNA from 1 species
GAUGAAGAACGCAGCGAAAUGCGAUAAGUAAUGUGAAUUGCAGAAUUCAGUGAAUCAUCGAAUCUUUGAACGCACCUUGCACCCUUUGGUAUUCCGAAGGGUAUGCUCGUUUGAGUGUCAUUGUACUCUCACACUUCUAAUUCCUUUCGGGAUUGGGAGCGGUGGACUUGGGUGUUGCUGCUUUAGUUUUGGCUCACCUCAAAUAAGUUAGUGCAACUCUUGGUUGGACAUAGUACGGCGUGAUAAGUGUCUUCGCCGGCGCCUCUGUAAGGAGGGUGGCCGAUCGGGAGCUCUGUGCUUCAAACCGUCUUCGGACAAUCUUUGACAACUUGACCUCAAAUCGAGUAGGACUACCCGCUGAACUUAAGCAUAUCAAUAAGCGGAGGA